rnacentral:rRNA from 1 species
AGAGUUUGAUCCUGGCUCAGAACGAACGCUGGCGGCGUGGAUUAGGCAUGCAAGUCGAACGCGAAAGAGGGGGUAACUCCUCGAGUAGAGUGGCGAACGGGUGAGUAACGCGUGAGAAACCUGCCUUCGACAGGGGGAUAACACUCCCAACGGGGUGCUAAUACCGCAUGAGACCACGGGUUCGCAUGGACCCGAGGUCAAAGGUGGCCUCUAUUUAUAAGCUACCGGUCGAAGAUGGUCUCGCGUCCCAUUAGCUAGUUGGCGGGGUAACGGCCCACCAAGGCGACGAUGGGUAGCUGGUCUGAGAGGAUGGUCAGCCACACUGGGACUGAGAUACGGCCCAGACUCCUACGGGAGGCAGCAGUCGAGAGGCUUCGGCAAUGGGGGAAACCCUGACCGAGCGACGCCGCGUGCAGGAUGAAGGCCCUUGGGUUGUAAACUGCUUUUGUCGGGAAAGAAACGCGAUCAGGUAAACAAUCUGGUCGCCUGACGGUACCCGGCGAAUAAGCUCCGGCUAACUCCGUGCCAGCAGCCGCGGUA